rnacentral:tRNA from 1 species
GGUGUGGUGGCUGAGUGGUAAAGUACAUGGCUUUCAAACCGGGGUCCCUGGUUCAAAUCCUGGCAAGACUG